GACGAACGCUGGCGGCGUGCCUAAUACAUGCAAGUAGAACGCUGAAGAGAGGAGCUUACUCUUCUUGGAUGAGUUGCGAACGGGUGAGUAACGCGUAGGUAACCUGCCUUGUAGCGGGGGAUAACUAUUGGAAACGAUAGCUAAUACCGCAUAACAAUGGAUGACACAUGUCAUUUAUUUGAAAGGGGCAAUUGCUCCACUACAAGAUGGACCUGCGUUGUAUUAGCUAGUAGGUGAGGUAAUGGCUCACCUAGGCGACGAUACAUAGCCGACCUGAGAGGGUGAUCGGCGACACUGGGACUGAGACACGGCCCAGGCUCCUACGGGAGGCAGCAGUAGGGAAUCUUCGGCAAUGGUGGCAACCCUGACCGAGCAACGCCGCGUGAGUGAAGAAGGUUUUCGGAUCGUAAAGCUCUGUUGUAAGUCAAGAACGGGUGUGGGAGUGGAAAGUUCACACUGUGACGGUAGCUGACCAGAAAGGGACGGCUAACUACGUG
rnacentral:rRNA from 1 species